UUAACUUAAAUAUGUAUGCAGUUAGAACAGCGCCCCUAGCGGCAAACAUAGACAAACGUUCCAACUCCAUACAAAUUUGAGUUA
rnacentral:pre_miRNA from 1 species